ensembl:lncRNA
UCACUCCAGUGUCUCCACCUGAAGGAGGAUCUAUUUCCUGGACCACGGACCUCCGACCAGAAGCUUCAUCAGAGGAUUCUGGGUCUCGUCCACACGGUGAAGUUCACGACGAGACCUCCAGGUGGGUCGUCAGCGGAGGUCUCUGGGUGCACAAAAGGCCUCCAGAGAGGAAGAGAGGAGAGGAAGAGGAGCUGCAGAUGCUGUGUGGUUUCUGCAGAGACGUUCUCACAGGAGCCACACGGCGACAGUUACAAGCAUCUCCUCUGGUGGACCAUCGCUCCGUGAUCUUCAGUUAGACAUCAGAAGACUUUACCAACUAUGACAAAGCCACUCUGACAUUCUACUAGAAGCAAACGAGAACCAACCGAUCGGGCCGACCUUCACCCGUCUCUCCCCCGAGUCCAUUCCAGACUCUUUGCACGUCAGCCUGUCGCCGCCCUUCACCUCAGCUUCUGGUUCCACCAGAACUUCUACCACAUUCUCUCCUCGCCUGCCAUUUCUCCAACCUCCAACUCCGGUCGCUCCUUGAGAACCGGCGCCGCGACCACAGCCUCUCGUGAUGGAAACCCAGGAUACCUCGUCCGAAUCCUGAGCCGCUCGGGUCCCAAAGACCUUCAAGCUGCUCGUCACACCUCACAUAGUGGAGAUUUGUGGGGGUCGUUGUGCUCCAACGUAGCUUCUCACAAGCCAGCAGACCGAUAAAGUCCUCCACGCCACAUGUGACGCCCACCAAUGUGUUU